UGCGUAGGCGGUUGAUUAAGUCUGGUGUAAAUCCCACAGCUUAACUGUGGAGGGUCAUUGGAAACUGGUCAACUUGAGUACGGUAGAGGUAAGCGGAAUUCCAAGUGGAGCGGUAAAAUGCGUAGAUAUUUGGAGGAACACCGGUGGCGAAGGCGACUUACUGGGCCGGAACUGACGCUGAUGCACGAAAGCGUGGGGAGCAAAUA
rnacentral:rRNA from 1 species